CCACGGUCACCCCACUACGGAUCGUCCGGCACGUACCUGCCGGUGGGAAGGAAAACUC
rfam:Actinomyces odontolyticus ATCC 17982 Actinomyces_odontolyticus-2.0_Cont201.13, whole genome shotgun sequence.